GUGGUUUUUAUUUUGAAGCAGUUAAGACUGUUCAGCUUGCAUAAGCAGUAUCACAGCUCUUCUAAAGCUUUCAGAGUCCCAGUAAACAAUGAGCCUUAAUUAAUGGAACUUUCACCAUCGCAAUUUAAUGGUGGAUAUCUGUGGCAUGUCAUAUAUGUGUUUGUUUUAGUACAUUGAAUGUGUUCUCUUACUAUUUAGUUGUUUGUAAUCAAAGUGUGAAAUCUAUUGUUAUGGAUUAACUGAUGCCUGAAAUAAAUUGGACUGAAGGUGUUCACUACAUUUCUUGCUACAGUCAGAAAGAACUUUGGCAGCUGAGGCAGUAUGAGACUGUAACAAUGAGUCCCAGGGUCUGCUGGAGUGCAGGAGAGGAGCAAAUGUGCCUGCAGUAAGAAAACAGAGAGGUCAGAGUGCACUGGUGUGAUGGACUGUACACGUCUGUGGAUCAGGCUACCUCUCCCAGAACAACUGAGGGUUUAGCGAUACUGUACAGUGGAACUGCAGGUGCUUGGGACUUUUCAUCUGCACUUCUUAUCACUAUCAGACCAGAAUGUGCUGAAGUUGUAAUGUUAAUAUUAGUAUUCAUUAAUAUAUUCACAUCUUUCUACAACAGUGGAGAACAUUUUAACUUUCUUUCUGCUUUAUUGCCUGUUUUUUUUGUUUUUUGUUUUUUGUUUGUUUGUUUGUUUUUUACUGUCUGUCAUUAACACAGAAAAACUUGAAAAGAUUGAGAACAUGUCCAGCUUUGUCAGUCCCAGGUGAGAGGGAAUGGUGAGCAGUCAUCAGUGAUGUAUCAGGUACAGACAGGUGUACAGACAGUAUUACCUUUUCAGGUUUCAAAUGCCUUUUCUACAGAACUUUCCAACAUAACACUGUAAGAAAAUAGAGGCAGUGUAAUAUGUGUGUGUUUCUUGUAUUUUGUGGUCCUUUUGUCCAUGUAAUGCCUGUUUAAUGUUAAUGUUUCCAAAAGUACAACAAACGUACAAAUGGAAUUUUCAAAUAUGGAUUACACUCUUCAAAAUAAAAGACAAUAUUUAAAAGCCAAAGGAAGUAACCGACUUUGAAAUUCAUACCAUGGGUUUGUCAUGGGUUUGAAUCUCAGUGACCAUGAACGCACUGUUAGAGUUAAGAGGUCGGGUUUUCUUGAGAACAAGGUAAUUUAGCAUUGUGAAAUUCAUACCAUAGGUGAAUUUGCCAAGACACUUAGGGGUGCCACUGACUGCUCCCAGUAUUUUUUGUUUGUUUGUUUUUAUAAACAUCCCCUAUACUUAUGAAGGCAGCUUGGAUUCUGUGUCA
ensembl:lncRNA